rnacentral:lncRNA from 1 species
AUCACACCCAUACACAUGGGCAUACACACACACAUACACACACACACACACACACAUCACACCCAUACACCUGGACAUACACACACACAUACACACACACAUACAUCACACCCAUACACCUGGGCAUACACACACACAUACACACACACACACACACAUCACACCCAUACACCUGGGCAUACACACACACAUACAUCACACCCAUACACCUGGGCAUACACACACACACACACACCACACCCAUACACCUGGGCAUACACACACACAUACACAUACACACACACACACAUAUCACACCCAUACACAUGGGCAUACACACAUUACAUCCAUACACAUGGGCGUACACACACACACCACAAUAAUCUUCAUCCCUUCAUUUCUGAUUGCCUAGACUCUUCUCUUCAGCUGUAUCGCAGUCUCUGUCUCUUUCUGUCUCCCUGCCUCUUCUUUCU